UACGGAGGGUGCAAGCGUUGUUCGGAAUUACUGGGCGUAAAGCGCGUGUAGGCGGCCGAUUAAGUCUGGUGUGAAAGCCCGGGGCUCACCCCCGGAAGUGCGCUGGAAACUGGUCGGCUAGAGUAUGGGAGAGGAAAGUGGAAUUCCCGGUGUAGCGGUGAAAUGCGUAGAUAUCAGGAAGAACACCCGUGGCGAAAGCGGCUCUCUGGAACGGUACUGACGCUGAGACGCGAAAGCGUGGGGAGCGAACAGG
rnacentral:rRNA from 1 species